CCUUGGUAUUGCACAGGCAAAGGUUAAAAGGAAAGAGAAGGACUGACCCCCAGGCAGGCUGGUCCUCGGGGUGUGUGGACCACAGCCACACCGUGCACAUGUGUGUGAGCCGUGUGUGGUUAUGGGGGUUGUGCCCUGCAAGGCUUUCUUGGGGGCACUGCUGAGGGGCCAGGAGCACUAAGGCCCUGGUUCCCAGCCCCCAGCCAGGCCCUGGGGAGGACGGGCUGACACGGGCAGGUCCCUCCAGAGAGCAGAGGCCUCUGCCCCACCCCCAGGCCCAUGAGCCGAGGUGCCAUGAGCCCUCACUCUCUAGAACAGGAAAGUAAGCUUGCACCCCUCCACACAUGCUGCCCCUCCUCACAGACCUGGCCUUGCUCCUGCCCUGUGGCCUCUCUGUGGGGCCUGCAGGGGAAGGGCGGCCGGGGGCUGGAUAGGAGGUGGCGCUGGACUCCUUCUCCAGGCCCAGCCACAUGUCUGCCGAGGGUCAGCCUCUCCUCAUUCCCCUUCUGCUCUGAAACACAUCCCCUGGGGCUUCCCGACCCAGAGGGGCCUGCUGGGGUGGCGCUGGACCUGGCCAACAAGGAAAUGGGAGUCUGCUCCCGGCCCCAGGACUCUCACGGUUUGAGGGGAGGCUGCGAGGCAGCACGGGCGGGAUGGCUGGUGGCUGUGGGGAACGGCCCAACCUAGCCAAGACCACAAUACACUCACACACGCACACUUGCACUCACACACACACACUUGUGCCCAUAUGCACACUUGCACACACACAAUGACCCUCACAAGCACUCACGUCCAUUUGUGCUCCAGCCAUACCAGCUGUGCCACCUUCACACUCACAUGCCAUCUUCUUCCCUUCUCUGGACUUUGGGCUUCGGCUAUCCCCCAGGCCCUUCUGUCGCCUCCACCUGCUCAGCUCACGGCCAGCCCUCAGGACCCAGCUCACACACGUUUCCUCUCUGCAACACCUGGCCCCUCAGGUGAGCCCCACGGCCUGGGUAGUGGUCCCCUGACCCUGUCUGCUUCUUGAGGGUGGGCCUGCUCCAGACAUGUCACCCCACCCAGCAAAUGCCUGCCAGCUUGGUUGGCAGUGACUCACCCUGGCUGCAGUCUUUCCAAGGCUCUGGGGGCCCCAGUGGGAGCAGGGAAGACGGGGCUCAGCACCCAGUGGUGCUAGGUAACCUGCCACAACAAGGGGAGGUGGCCAGCCCAGGGUCAGACCACAGAAGCAGUCAACCUGGGAGCUGAGCCCAGGAGUAUAGGUGCCAGAGCAGGGCCUUCACGCAUGCACACACAGACUCGCCAUCAAGCGCCGCAGCCCUGGAGCAGGGGCUGCGGCACAGACCCAGGGCUUUGGCGAGGCCACACUUCUCACAAGAAUGGCCCACAGAUGGGGUGCUGGACCUGCGCUGUGGGUCAUGAGCAUGGAGCAGGCCAAGCUCCCCUCAGGAGAGGGCCGGCUGCAUGGAGGCAGGAGGAGGGCAGAAGGAUGAAGGACCCAGUGUCCCCCCAGUGGGGCACCGCCCAGCACGGACACAGGCCACAUGGUGGGGGAGAAGGGCCAGUGCAGACACCCACAGGGCACAGCUGGAGUGGCCUUAGAAUGAAGCCACAUCCUGCAGAUGGGGACUGAGACACAGGCUGGGACACUGAAUCAGAGGUGGAGCUGGGCGGAGGCUCAGGACCCAGACAUCCAAGGAGAACAGGAGUCCUGGCCAAGAGGAAGGAAGAGUGGGUUCAAAUGCACCGACAGGUCCCAGCACAGGGACAGACACAAGACCAGUGGGAUGGAGCUGGGAGUCCAGGGACACACCAGGUGUCCAUGGCGAGUGAACGUCACCAGGAGUGCUGAGACCACUCAGGGGGAAGAACAGUCUCAUCAACAAAAGGUGGGGGACAACUGGAUUUCCACAUGCAAAGAACGGAGUGGGGCCCUGCCUCAGACUAACCCCUUAAGUUAACCAAAGUGGAGCAUAGACUUAAAACUAUGAAACUUUGGGGCCGGCCUGGUGGCACAGUGGUUAAGUGCGCACAUUCCACUUCAGAGGCCCAGGGUUCGCCGGUUCGGAUCCUGGGUGCGGACAUGGCACUGCUUGGCAAGCCAUGCUGUGGUAGGCAUCCCACAUAUAAAGUAGGGGAAGAUGGGCACGGAUGUUAGCUCAGGGCCAGUCUUCCUCAGCAAAAAGAGGAGGAUUGGCAAGAGAUGUUAGCUCAGGGCUAAUCUUCCUCAAAAAAACAAACAAACGAAAAACUACGAAACUCGUACAAGAAAACAUAGGAACAACUCUUCAUGACCUGGGAUUUGGCAUGGAUUCUUAGAUGACAUCAAAAGCACAAGCAAUAAAAGAGAAAUAAGUUGGACUUCACCAAAAUGGAAAACUUUUGUGCAUCCAACGUUGUUAAGAAAAUGAAAGUCAAUGUACAGAAUGGAAGAAAAUAUUUGCAGAUCACUUAUCUGAAAAGGGUCUAGUACACAGAAUAUAUAAAGAAUUGUUACAAAUUGGCAAUAAAAAGACAACCAACCAGUUAAAAAUGGGCAAAAGCCUUCAAUAGACAUUUCAAAGAAGACACACAAAUGACCAGCAAGCAGGUGAAAAGAAGCUUGUCAUCAGUCAUUAGGGACAUACAACCAAAACCACAACAAAGUGCCUUUCACACCUGCUGAGAGGACUAGAAUCAAAAAAAAACCCCAAAAGACGGAAAGCGACAAGUGUCAGCAAGGACACACAGGUGUUGGAAUCUGUGCACACUGCUGGUGGGAAUGUGAAAUGGUGUUUCCACUGUGGAAAACAGAGUGACGUUUUCUCAAAAAGUUAAAUACGAUAUUCCACAAGAUCCAGCAAUUCCACUCCUAGGGAAUGGAGCCCCUAGGACUGAAAACGGACGAGCAAACACAUGUUCACUCCAGUCCAUAGGCGCACCAUUCACAACAGCCGAAAGGUGGGAGCAGCAGUGUCCACCAAGGACGAAUGGAUAAAUGUUCCAUGGAAUAUCAGUCAGCCCUGAAAGGAAUGAGGCACCAACAUGCCACAGCACAGGUGAACCUUGAGGGCACUGUGCUCAGGAUGAGAAGCCAGGCAUGAGGCCGCAUGGUGUGUGAUCCCAUUCACAUGAAAAGCCCACAGCACGCAAAUCCACAGAGACAGAAAGCAGGCCGCUGACCGCCAGGGGUGGGAGGAGGAGGCAGAGGAGAAACUACUCGUGGACACGGGAUUUUAUUUUAUAGUAACAAAAAUGUUCUGGAGCCAGAUAGAAGAGGUGACUUUACAGCACUGUGAAUGCGCCAAAUACUGCCUGCUCAUCUCUCUACACCAAGGGCCUGCUCAUCUCCAUCUCCACCCAGGGCCUGCCCAUCUCCAGGUCCUCCCAGGGCCUGCUCAUCUCCAUCUCCACCCAGGGCCUGCCCAUCUCCAGGUCCUCCCAGGGCCUGCUCAUCUCCAUUUACACCAAGGGCCUGCCCAUCUCCAUCUCCACCCAGGGCCUGCCCAUCUCCAGGUCCUCCCAGGGCCUGCUCAUCUCCAUCUCCACCCAGGGCCUGCCCAUCUCCAGGUCCUCCCAGGGCCUGCUCAUCUCCAUUUACACCAAGGGCCUGCUCAUCUCCAGGUCCUCCCAGGGCCUGCUCAUCUCCAUCUACACCAAGGGCCUGCUCAUCUCCAUCUACACCCAGGGCCUGCCCAUCUCCAGGUCCUCCCAGGGCCUGCUCAUCUCCAUCUCCUCCCAGGGCCUGCCCAUCUCCAGGUCCUCCCAGGGCCUGCUCAUCUCUACCUACACCAAGGGCCUGCUCAUCUCCAUCUCCGCCCAGGGCCAGGCCAAUGCUAUCUCCCACCCUGGGCCACCAGCCCCUCCAAGGCCAGUGAUACCCUUCUCCAUGCCUCUGCCCACCCCUCACGGGAGCCUCAGAGGUGUCCACACUGGCCAGCACACUGAGGUCCCUCCCCUCCCAGGGCCCUGGCCACAACGUGGCCUUCUUAGCUAUCUCCCUCAGCUCCUCCACUGCACCCCAUUCCCCGGGGCACGCCCUCCAGACCCUCCCACAGGUGAGUCCUCCAGCCACAGAGCCCUUGGCCAGGGCCUGCUGCCAUGACGCAUGCCACUGCCUGGCUGUGUGGGUCGUGUGGAGCGAGGAACAAUUCUGUCUUUUUUCAAGGGAGCCAGGUAUGAUCUCUUCUGGAGAAAGGAGUUCACAUAUCACGGGCUUCAGAGUCAUCAACCUACAGAUCCAGUUCCCUGGCCUCCCAGGCUUCUGGCCUUGUUGUGGUGUCCAGUAAUUGGUAUUUGUGCCUUGCAGCCCAGGUGAGACAGCGAGGGGUCCGAGCCCCACAGACCCUCGGUGUGAGCCCAGGGGCUGGAGGGUGUCCUUCUGGCCUGGGGCAGCCACUCUCCCAGCCUCACAGAGCUGCAUCCCUGCGGUCCCUCCCUCGGGGCCCGGUGACUCCUGCAGACAAGCUGGGCUGCAGAAGAGCCUCCGCCCUCAACUGGCCCCUUGAGCUUAGAAUGCCCAGAAGCCACAGCUCCCCCGAGACGUUUGGAAGCCUGCUAGGCCAGGCAGAUCCUCUGCAGGGAGCCCCUCACAUCAAGUCACAUCAUGAGAGUGCUCCACAUGCCUACAUUUAGGGCAUGGCUUCUUGCUGCUAAAAUAUUUUUCAAAGGGACUUGUCUACGUUUGCUUUUGAAAUCAGUAGUUUCAAUUUAGCAACUUUCUUUCUGUAUUUAGAGGCCAGUACAUGCAUUUGGGGGUGUCAGGCAUCUUGGCAGUUCCUAGGAACGGCAGUAGGUCGCAGCACUGGGCAGUGGGGCCUGACCUGGCAAGUCCCAUCCUGGGGGACAAGGCACCCCUGACCUCCAAGGAGCUUUGCAAGUGGGCUUGAAAACAUAUUCAGACACAGAGACACAUGCUUACACAUGUGGAUCCAUGUACACAUGCACGUGUGGGUACUCACAUGUAGAUCUGUGUACACAUGUGGGUCCAUGUACAUGUGGGGAGAUACACACAUGCAGUUCCAUACACAGAGAGGCACACAUGUAGAUACAGGUACAUAGACACACGUAGGUGCAUGCACACAAGUAGAGACAUGCACAUACAUGUAGAUCCAUGCACACAUAGAUACACAUAUGGAUCCAUGCACACAGAGACACACAUGUAGGUCCAUGCACACACAUGAAGGUCCAUGCACACACAGACACAUGCAUGUGGGUCCGUGCACACAGAGACAUGCACACAUAGGUCCCUGCACAUGUAGGUCCAUGCUGACACAGACACACACGUAGGCCCAUGCACACACACAUAGGUCCAUGCACACAGAGACACAUGCACACACAGAUAUCCAUUUACUUCUAUAGGGUCACUCUCCUUCCUGAGCAGGGGUAGGGUGGGCUGGGAGAAGACAUGAGGAGCCUACCCCUCAGAAAGCCCACACUCUGGGUGCUAAGAUGGCCUUACGCCAAAGAAGAAAGGAAGCAGAGGUCCUAGACACUCCUGCUCUCCAGGCUUGUUGAGGAUGUUUGAAAUCACCUGCUUGGAGAGCCCCACCAUUCAGGACUUUCAGAAACUUUCAAGCGACAAAGCAGAGCCAAAGGCAGCAGCACUGGGUGAGACCUGGGGUGCCAGCCCACUUCUUUCCAGCCCUUCUGAGGGAUGGUGCUCAGGGAGCCAGUGGGCCGGGAGGCUCCCUGGAGGAGCAGCCUGAAUCAAACUCAGCAAAGGACUCGUCCCAGUGGGCUGGGGUUUGGGCCAAGCAUGGACAGCAGAAGAGGGCAGGAGCAGGGGGCCAGGCACCACUGGCAGAGAGAGGCCGGGCCCCUGCCCAGGGGGUCUCUGGGGAGGCAGGGAGAGGCCAGGAAGGGACUGCUGAGUUGAGCAUCCUGGACGGGGUGGGGAGUGCUGGCAAGGGUAGGGCAGGGCCUGGGCAGGACGUGGUGGCCAAGCUGGGGCUGUGAGAUCCAUGUGGGCAGAGCAGCUAGAUGCUGGAGGUGCCUGGGAGAGCCCAGCCCCUGGCUGCCCUGGGCAAAUUCAGGCCUCUCUCCUGCCUGUACAGUGGGUGGCUCUCACUCACUCAUUCAGUUCAGGAGAUUGACACUGGCCCAGAGAGAGCCCAGCCAGCCUGGGGUGGGGGCGGGGGGACCCCUUCAAGAGCAAGAGGUGGCAGGUUCAAGAAGGUAGCCGGUGUGUCAGGCCAGUCAGCUCAGGGGUUCCUAAGCACGAGGAAACCCCACCUGCAGAGCAAGGCCUGACUGCCCUGCACAGAGCUAGCCCAGCCCAGGAUACCUGUCAACCAUGGCAGGCUGGCUGGGUCUCAGCCCUCCCGUGAGUGAUCUCUGGUGGCCCCAGUGGUCCUGGUCUGUACUGAGGGGCAGGAAGGUGGCUCUGCCCUUGCUGGAAGCAGCGGCCAGUCCAGUUCUGGUGAUACCACGCCGGUUUUCCAAAUUAUGUUUCAGGUCCAUUACAUGGGUCAGAGCAGGCCAUGAGGGGAAGGCCAGGAGUGGCAUUGCCCUCCUCCUGCAGCUCAGACCAGGACGUCCCAUGCCAGCUGCUCCACCUGUGGGUCCAGCAAGCACCCUCCAGCAUCUGGGAGCUGGAGUCUGGAUUCUGCCAAGAGGAAAUGGGGUUCACGGGGCCUCCUGGACCCUGAGCCUGGCCUCUCCUGCCACCUCUGCCCCAGGAAGCUCCAGCAUGUUGUCCCAAGCCGAGGCCUUGCCUGCUACCCUCUACCAGACCAUCACGUCCCAGUGGCUCAACAAUGUUCCGUGGAUGUCCAGGCUGCAUGGUGUGUGAACCAGAGCGUCCCUCGGUUGAUACCUAGAGCCCUGCCCUGGCCAGGAGACCUCAGGCCUCCCCUCCCAGUAAACAGGACCACCUUCACUGGAAAGAGCCUGGUUGUGAGUGUGCACAGAGCUACCACUCACUGCGCAUCUCUGUGCAGGGGCAAGUCUGCCCUGCAUCCCAUUGCUCAGGCUGCAGGCCCUGCUGUGUGCAUGGGGAGUGUGCGUGCAUGCAUAGGUGCAUGUGUGCAUGCAUGUGACUGUGUACGGGUGUAUGCAUGUGUGCAUGAAUGUGUGUGUAUGUCUGUGGGUGUGCACAAAUGUGUGAGAGCACAUGUGUGUGAAUGCAUGCAUGUGGGGGUGGUGUGUGCACAGUGUACCCGUGUGAGUGUGUGCGGCAGAUGUGAGAGAAUCCUCCCCGGAUAUCGCAGGUAGAGUCGUAGGUGGAACCCUCCAGGCACGUGCAGGUGGAUCUCAGGGGUCAGUGAGUGAUAGGGACAGGAGCCAGGUGGACAGCAGGCCCUGGGUGGUGGUAAGGGGGCGAGCCAGGGAAGCAGCGAGUGUCUCUGGGGGCAGCAGUUGCUGGAGGGGGCUGUGGGGAUGUGGGGAGGGUGCUUGCUUGUCUGUUCUAAGGCGGAGCUCUUGGGGCAUGUGUGUAAACUGGCGAGGUGACCUAGGACAGGGGUUGGCAGGUCGUGGCCCGUGGACCACGGUUUAUAAAUGAAGUGUCAUUGGAAUAGCCACAGCCUUUGCACUGUCUCUGGCUGCCUCCCCUCCACAGCGGCAGGGAUGGGUACAGGUAGCAGACACCACAGCGGGAUGAGAGGCCCUGGGGGCCAUGGGAGGCGGGUGGGGAAAGGCUUACCCAAUCUGCUCUGUCCUCUUUGAGCAUACCUGGGGUUGACAAGGUUUGGACAGAAACAACCAAGUGAGACAACCCAACAUCCUCAAGCUUUAGUUUCAACCCGACCCAGCAUGCUGUUGCUAAGAAAGUGACACACACAUCUCUGGGGUGGCGUGGCAGGAGAACAAGUGAAGACCUUUGACCCUGCUCCUCUCCCUCUCCUCUCUGUCUUACCACCUGCACAACCCCACCAGGGCUGCCGCACCUCACCCAGGGCUGGUCCACCCCACCAGGGCUGUUCCACCCUACCAGGGCUGCUCCACCCCAUCAGGGCUGCUCCACCCAGCCACCAGGGCUUCUCCACCCCACCCAGGGCUGCUCCACCUCAC
rnacentral:lncRNA from 1 species